rnacentral:rRNA from 1 species
AUGCAAGGUAUGGCUCUUGCCAUACAGCACUCAAAUUCACCGGUGGUGUUGCAAUCGGAUUCCCUGGAAGCUUUAUCCUGCCUAUCAACAAAUGCUCUACGACGGUCAGCUUAUGGCCAGUUAGCCCUAGAGAUUAAGUAUUUAGCUAGUAGUAGGGAGUUUGUACCUCAGAAGAUUAGUCGUCUACAGAAUAGAGCUGCCGAUCGUUUGGCUUGUUACAGCCGUACGGAGCGAGCAACUGCUAUUUGGCUUCAUUCAGUUCCACCUUGUAUCAAGGAUUUGUGGCCUCUCGACUGUAACUCUAUAACUUUGCAAUCAAACUCCCUUUACCGUCGCAAAAAAAACAAAAACAUCUAA